GCCGCAGUAGCUCAGGGGUAGAGCAACUGAUUCGUAAUCAGUAGGUCCGGGGUUCAAAUCCCUGCUGCGGCACCA
rnacentral:tRNA from 10 species